rnacentral:tRNA from 1 species
CAGGGAGACAAAACUGAUUGUGAUGUCUGAUUAAAAAAUAUUUAGACCACGAUCCUGUCACCUUAGGUCGAUCGGUACCUCAGCUUGAAGUCUAAAGAUAUGAGAAAUCAUUAUUUUAGGAGUUCAUUUUCAGUUCCUAAACUUGUCUAGGUCACACCCAACAUUCAUUCUUCUGGGCUAUUAGCUCAGGUGGUUAGAGCGCACCCCUGAUAAGGGUGAGGUCCCUGGUUCAAGUCCAGGAUGGCCCAUUCGGUGUUGGGGGUUUAGCUCAGUUGGUAGAGCGCCUGCUUUGCAAGCAGGAUGUCAGGAGUUCGAGUCUCCUAACCUCCACUGAUCGAACUUAAUCUCCAUCUUCUGAUUGAUUGGAAGGUGAACUCGAGUGUGAGAGGUGUGAUUUAGAUGUGUCCGCUGGCAUGACCCCAGCUUCCUGUCAUUCCAAGAUUGAGUGAGCAAUCACGUUGAUUUUGGUUGAUAAGAUGCUGGGCUCGAACUGAGCGAUCAGUUUGAUGUCUAGCAGAACCUUGACAACUGCAUAGGUGAGUCUGGAAAGAAUAAAGCAUCUCUCAUGGAUGCAUCAUUUCUUUUUGGAAUGAUGUUAAUUCUUGAGCAAGAGCCGAGACUCCAUCACGUUCUUUUCAUUGCGUCGAGCAAUGAAGAGUUUGAUCAUUGAUUCAGCAAUGAAUCAGUGAGAAUCUGUUUCAACGACAGCAAGCGUGUUGGAGAUUAUAU